rnacentral:rRNA from 1 species
UACGGAGGAUGCGAGCGUUAUCCGGAUUUAUUGGGUUUAAAGGGAGCGUAGACGGGUCCUUAAGUCAGUUGUGAAAGUUUGCGGCUCAACCGUAAAAUUGCAGUUGAUACUGGGGACCUUGAGUGCGGCAGAGGCAGGCGGAAUUCGUGGUGUAGCGGUGAAAUGCUUAGAUAUCACGAAGAACUCCGAUUGCGAAGGCAGCUUGCUGGGCUGUAACUGACGCUGAUGCUCGAAAGUGUGGGUAUCAAACAGGAUUAGAUACCCGUG